rnacentral:lncRNA from 8 species
UAUGUUGUACUUCCCCUCAGUCCUAUUUUAAGACAUCGUCAUACUUUUCACACACACACGCACGCGUGCACACACACGCACACGCACGCACACACACACACACACACACACACACACACACACACACACACACACACACACACACACACACACACACACACACACACACACACACACACACACACACACACACACACACACAUACAGCAGAUCCUGUUUGCCUCCACCUAGAGCAGAUGCUUCCACAUCCACACAGAAGAGAGACUGCUUGCUCCUUCAAAGAUGCUUGUCUGUCGAUACCAUCUCUCACUUUGGAUAUUUGUUCUGCUUAUCUGUUACCUACAACUUUGGGAUACAGUAUCCUCAGACCUCCUCUCGGUCCCCCCCCCAACACCCUCCCUUACCCAGGCCCCUGUAGGCAACACCGUCCUGGGGGCUGUGGUCCUGGUCUGUCGGGCCCCUGAGGGCCCUGGAGGGAUCCUGUUCAGACUCCACCGGGUUAAAAAGCUGGUGGACACCAUGACUUUCCCCAGUGAGAGACAGGAGGCCCAGUUCACAGUUAGAGUGAGGGAGGAUUCACCCCGGGAGGGUCUAUACUGCUGCCUGUAUCAGAACAGCCAGGGGAUUUAUAGCCCAUACAGCCACUAUCUGACUCUGAAACAACAAGGUGUAGCCUCUCCUAGAGCUCCUCCUCCUCCUCCUCCCCCCUCUCUCCUCCCACCCCUCCUCUCAGUUGAUCCCCCAGAUGGUCAGGUGAAGCGCGGCCAGACGUUAUCCUUCCACUGCUCCCCCCCUCCUCCUCACUCCCAGCAGAGCCCGAAACCAGAGGCCUUCCUACUGCUGAGGACAGCUAAAGCGACUGGGCACUCCAUGGGGAGCUCCAUGGUCCACCCCCAGGCCUCCCUGGUGUCCCACUCCACAGCCCAGACCGGGGCCUUCCACCUGGGGCCCGUGAGGGGAGGCGAGGGGGGGUCCUACACCUGCCUCUACCAGGUUACAGUGCCUCGUCAGGGACCGGCUAAUUCAACCGCCAGUCAUCCAGUUCUUGUCACGGUCACAGAGCUGUUGCCGGUGCCCACUCUCUCUCUCCAGAGCCAGGCUGGGGAGUGGGCCUUGGUGUGUACUGGCUCACCUGCCUUCCCUGGUGCCCGCUUCUCUCUAUACCGCCUGGGAAGUACCUUCCCUGAUGCCACCCGUAGUGCCCCCGCUACCCGACAUCGUGCCCUUUUUGUUCUCUCAUCCCAGGACGGCCCGUUGUCGGACCAGUACCAGUGCCAAUACAGUUCCCUGCUGGGAGCAGAGUGGAGCCACUCAGAGAGAAGUCCACUGCUGGCUGUGCCUAGAGUCAUAGAAAAUACCACCAUCUCCCCUCCCUCCUCACCAGGGCUGACUGGUGUGGACUGGCCUCUGGUGUUGGGAUGUCUUUCUGUUGUGGUUCUGUUCUUCAUUGUACUGGUGGGCGUGGGUGUGGCAGUGCAGAGGAAAGUUAAGGUAAUAGUGGAAGAAAAGCGUAAAAGAGAGGGGGCUCUUCUAUGGGCCAAGCUUAAUUCCAGGGACCAUGUUCUUGACCUUACCCUCAAACGUGUGAGCAUUACCUCUCAGGAAUGGGGUAACGACGACAGAGCAGCAGAGACAGCCUUCAGCAGGUCCCCUCCAUGGAGAACUCUCUCUACGUUUGGCAACACACCAUCCUCCUGACCUCCUUCACCCCUCCCUCGUUCCCUCUAUUCUCACUCGUUCUCUCUCUCUCUAUUCCUUUUUCUGUCCAUCUUCUUAUGUCUCUCUCCCUGACCUUUCUCAUCUCUAUACAGUACUUCUCUUCAUGCUCCCUGUCCUUCUUUCUGAUCUCUCGUUCUCUCUGUCACCUUUUCUUUCCCUCUCUAUCCUUCUUCUCUCUAUUUCCCUCUCCAUCCAUCUCUUCUCUCUCUUUCCCUCUCCAUCCUUCUUUUCUCUCUCCAUGAACCUUUUCCCUCUCUAUCCUUCUCUUCUCUUUCUCCCUGAACCCUUUCCCUCUCUAUCCUUCUCUUCUCUUUCUCCCUGAACCCUUUCCCUCUCUAUCCUUCUCUUCUCUCUCCCUGAACCCUUUCCCUCUCUAUCCGUCUCUUAUCUUCUCUCUCCCUGAACCCUUUCCCUCUCUAUCCUUCUCUUCUCUCUCCCUGAACCCUUACCCUCUCUAUCCUUCUCUUCUCUCUCCCUGAACCCUUUCCCUCUCUAUCCUUCUCUUCUCUCUCCCUGAACCCUUUCCCUCUCUCUCCAUCUCUUAUCUUCUCUCUCCCUGAACCCUUUCCCUCUCUAUCCUUCUCUUCUCUCUCCCUGAACCCUUUCCCUCUCUAUCCUUCUCUUCUCUCUCCCUGAACCCUUACCAUCUCUAUCCUUCUCUUCUCUCUCCCUGAACCCUUUCCCUCUCUAUCCUUCUCUUCUCUCUCUCCCUGAACCCUUUCCCUCUCUAUCCUUCUCUUCUCUCUCCCUGAACCCUUUUCCUCUCUAUCCUUCUCUUCUCUCUCUCCCUGAACCCUUACCAUCUCUAUCCUUCUCUUCUCUCUCCCUGAACCCUUUCCCUCUCUAUCCCGCUCUUCCUCCACCUUUUGGACAUCUAAGCAACAACCACACGUCUAAUCAUACAUCCCAACUCUCUCUCUAUCUAUGGAAAACAUGUUCUCUCUGUUUACAUUUUUGGCCGAAAACCUAGCCGUGAUUACAGGAACAGAGAAGUCCAAAUUUCCUCUAACAUGUGUCGCGUUUCACAAGUUUGCAUUAGGUCACUUUCACUGAAUCUUAUUGAAUUUCAUAAGUUGUUUCAUGUACAUAAAAUCUAUUUUAUAAUAAAAGCUGUGGGGUAAUUCUAAUCUAGCUGCUUCAUAGGUCAUUUGUGUUUGAGUGUGAUGCAUGUAGACUUACUUUCAGAAAAGAGUGAAAAUAAGGCCACGUAAAAAUGUGUGAACUUUCCCUCUAAUCAAGAGUAUUCAUUUUCCCAACAAUUUCUUUUUACAUUGAAGUUCCUUGAAAGAGACACUAGAGGGCACUCUCCAUGAAGAGGUAGUACUUCUACAGCGAUAGCUUCUCUUUUACAAUUUGUCAGUUGGAAAUGAUUGAACAUGCAUCAGUUCAGCUCCACCUCACCAAUUGAAUGUCUCACCCACAGUUAUUGUCAGUGGAAAAACUUAUAGAGGGCCAGGUUACAGCAAACGCUAGACCUCUGGAACAAUGUGUUCACAAUAAAUACAGGAGAGGAAACCACAUAUUGUGAUGUAUUAUUACCAGAUGUGUGGUUGUUGCUUAGAUGUCCUAAAGGUGGAGGAAGUCAACGAGACACACUGCUAGCCCGAUACUGAGCGAUACCACAACGCGUUACUAUAGGUAGAGAGAGGAGAGAAGUAUUAUGGUGAUACAUCACUGAUACUUGUUUAUGAGUUUCUAUUACAGACUAUAAAUCACACAAGUAAUAGUAGCAUCAUUGUACCGGUGAAAAUUGGUCAGAAA